UACGUAGGGUGCAAGCGUUAAUCGGAAUUACUGGGCGUAAAGCGUGCGCAGGCGGUUCGCUAAGACAGAUGUGAAAUCCCCGGGCUUAACCUGGGAACUGCAUUUGUGACUGGCGGGCUAGAGUAUGGCAGAGGGGGGUAGAAUUCCACGUGUAGCAGUGAAAUGCGUAGAGAUGUGGAGGAAUACCGAUGGCGAAAGGCAGCCCCCUGGGCCAAUACUGACGCUCAUGCACGAAAGCGUGGGGAGCAAACAGG
rnacentral:rRNA from 1 species